rnacentral:tRNA from 1 species
GUCAGUUUGUCCGAGUGGUUAAGGAGUUUGACUCGAAAUCAAAUAAGCUUUGCCUGCGCAGGUUCAAAUCCUGCAGCUGACG